AUCUAUUCUCAACCUUUUGGAUAAGAUCAAGUGUAGUAUCUGUUCUUAUCAGUUUAAUAUCUGAUAUGUCCUCUAUUAGAGGACUGUAUAUUAAACUGAUUUUUGGCACUGAGAGUUGGAUCUGGAGCUUUG
rnacentral:snRNA from 14 species